GCUAACUCUCUCCCACAACUUGAC
rnacentral:siRNA from 1 species